GCCGGACAGGCCCGAAGGGCAGAGACAUGCUGUUCUGUCGGUUUGCUACGUGUUCUCAGUGCUUGUUUUGGUCAUCACGCUGAUAAUAUUUAUCGCAUCAUAUGGGUUGAGAACACGAGGCAUAUGCUUGCUCCAUCUUUCAUACAUAACUAGUACACUGCUGAUGUCUUGUGUGUGCCUUCUAAGCAUAAUGGACGUUGUUACAAGCCAGGCGAUGGUUCAGCUGGUCGGAUUUAUCAUCACAUUCUGUCUAUUCGUUGCCAUGACAACCAUCUCUUUGGAAAUGUUCCAUAUUUUCCUUGUUACACAUCGAAUUAACAAGAUUGAGAUGACAACCGCGAAGUUUGCUUUUGGG